GAUGAACGCUGACAGAAUGCUUAACACAUGCAAGUCAACUGUGGCGGACGGGUGAGUAACGCGUAAAGAACUUGCCUCACAGCUAGGGACAACAUUUGGAAACGAAUGCUAAUACCUGAUACUGUGAGAGAGCUGUGCGUCCCAUUAGCUAGUUGGAGAGGUAACGGCUAACCAAGGCGAGGAUGGGUAGCCGGCCUGAGAGGGUGAUCGGCCACAAGGUGACUGAGACACUGCCCUUACUGAUACGGGAGGCAUCAGGGGUGAUCAUUGGAAGAUGGACCAAAGUCUGAUCCAGCAAUUCUGUGUGCAAGAUGAAGUUUUCGGAAUGUAAAGUGCUUUCAGUUGGGAAGCGGUACCAACAGAAGAAGUGACGGCUAAAUACGUGCCAGCAGCCGCGGUAAUUC
rnacentral:rRNA from 1 species